CCAUUUUAAAGGACUAAUCCUUUUACAACAUGGAGAACAUACAUCGUCCUAUACUCAAGUGUGAAUGUGAUUUUACUUUCUUGAAUUUCAGAGAUAUAUGAAAAUGGCAUUUCAAGCAAACUUUUUUCACAGAGCUGUGAAAUGGGGGCGAUUUCCAUAUAUACUUCUGCAAAGAAAAUUCGUUGAAAAUGAUGGGAGAUAGAAAGGCUUGUGGUGCUGAUUUAGUAGGCUACCGGAGAUGGUGAAACGAGCGACAACCCAACCAUGUUCCAAAGUGCAGUCAGAGCAAAGGCUAAACCUUCGGUUCAAGUACGAUCGGAGAAUUCGAACCGUCUUCAGGCAAAAAAAUCAACGUACUUGCUACUGGAGUGGCGGCAACACCUUCUGCUGAGUUGAGGUCAGAGAUGGUAAGGCCAGGUUAAAAUAUUGUGUGGAUUUCAAUUUGGUGAGGAAAAACUCUCUUAAUCUGGGGGAGGGAUUUCUAGGUUAGUGGGUGUCACUUCUGAGACCAAUCAGGUUUUGUCAUUCAUUCCUUUAUUGUAAGUCAGAUUUUG
rnacentral:lncRNA from 1 species